ACGAACGCUGGCGGCGUGCUUAACACAUGCAAGUCGAACGGGAUUUAGUAAACAGACGCCUCGGUGGAAGAUUACUAAUGAGAGUGGCGAACGGGUGAGUAACGCGUGAGCAACCUGCCUAUGACAGUGGGAUAGCCUCGGGAAACCGGGAUUAAUACCGCAUAAAAUCGUAGAAACACAUGUUUUAACGGUCAAAGAUUUAUCGGUCAUAGAUGGGCUCGCGUCUGAUUAGCUAGUUGGUGAGAUAACAGCCCACCAAGGCGACGAUCAGUAGCCGGUCUGAGAGGAUGAACGGCCACAUUGGAACUGAGACACGGUCCAAACUCCUACGGGAGGCAGCAGUGGGGAAUAUUGCACAAUGGGGGAAACCCUGAUGCAGCGACGCCGCGUGAACGAAGAAGGUAUUCGUAUCGUAAAGUUCUGUCCUAUGGGAAGAUAAUGACAGUACCAUAGAAGAAAGCUCCGGCUAAAUACGU
rnacentral:rRNA from 1 species